GUGAGGAAUAUUCCGCAAUGGGGGAAACCCUGACGGAGCAAUGCCGCGUGCAGGAUGAAGGCCCUCGGGUCGUAAACUGCUUUUAUAUGAGAAGAAUAUGACGGUAACAUAUGAAUAAGGGACGGCUAACUACGUGCCAGCAGCCGCGGUCAUACGUAGGUCCCAAGCGUUAUCCGGAGUGACUGGGCGUAAAGAGUUGCGUAGGCGGCUCGUUAAGCGUGAAAUGAAAUUUAUCGGCUCAACCGGUAAACUAUUUCGCGAACUGACGGGCUCGAGAGUAUGAGAGGUUACUGGAAUUUCUAGUGUAGCAGUGAAAUGCGUAGAUAUUAGAAAGAACACCAACGGCGUAGGCAGGUAACUGGCAUACAUCUGACGCUGAGGCACGAAAGCGUGGGGAGCGAACCGGAUUAGAAACCCCUGUAGUCC
rnacentral:rRNA from 1 species